rnacentral:rRNA from 1 species
GCACAAGCGGUGGAUGAUGUGGUUUAAUUCGAUGCAACGACGAAAACCUUACCCACCUUUGACAUGUACGGAACCUUUAGAGAUAGAGGGUGCUCGAAAGAGAGCCGUAACACAGGUGCUGCAUGGCUGUCGUCAGCUCGUGUCGUGAGAUGUUGGGUUAAGUCCCGCAACGAGCGCAACCCUUGUCAUUAGUUGCUACAUUCAGUUGGGCACUCUAAUGAGACUGCCGGUGACAAGCCGGAGGAAGGUGGGGAUGACGUCAAGUCCUCAUGGCCCUUAUAGGUGGGGCUACACACGUCAUACAAUGGCUGGUACAAAGGGUUGCCAACCCGCGAGGUGGAGCUAAUCCCGAAAAGCUGGUCUCAGUCCGGAUCGGAGUCUGCAACUCGACUCCGUGAAGUCGGAAUCGCUAGUAAUCGUGAAUCAGAAUGUCACGGUGAAUACGUUCCCGGGCCUU